rfam:Flavobacterium sp. AED Contig02, whole genome shotgun sequence.
UUUGUCACAACAAAAAAAUGAUGAAAACAACAAUAAACAAUACUUGGUGGUGGAACAAUUUACGUCAAUCGUCGUGAACUAAGCUUCCUAUAGUAUUAUUAAACUAUAAAUAUGAAAGGCUUGUC